GUUGCCAGCCCGCUACAGAAACUUAAAGGAAGUUGACGGGGCCCGCACAAGCGGUGGAGCAUGUGGUUUAAUUCGAAGCAACGCGAAGAACCUUACCAGGCCUUGACAUGCAGAGAACUUUCCAGAGAUGGAUUGGUGCCUUCGGGAACUCUGACACAGGUGCUGCAUGGCCGUCGUCAGCUCGUGUCGUGAGAUGUUGGGUUAAGUCCCGCAACGAGCGCAACCCUUGCCUUUAGUUGCCAGCAGUUCGGCUGGGCACUCUAAAGGGACUGCCGGUGUUAAACCGGAGGAAGGUGGGGAUGACGUCAAGUCCUCAUGGCCUUUAUGACCAGGGCUACACACGUACUACAAUGGCCGAUACAAAGGGCAGCGACACUGCGAGGUGAAGCCAAUCCCGUAAAAUCGGUCUCAGUCCGGAUUGGAGUCUGCAACUCGACUCCAUGAAGUUGGAAUCGCUAGUAAUCGUGGAUCAGCAUGCCACGGUGAAUACGUUCCCGGGCCUU
rnacentral:rRNA from 1 species